CUCUCUUUAUCCCUCUAUCUCUUUCUUCAUCAAAUCUUCUUUUGUUCAAAGUCUCUCUCAUCAUUUUUCUCUAUACACAUACAUGCAUCCACAUACAUACAUACAUAUACCAUCAUCUUCUUUUCUCAUCUCUAGUUUUUGUUUAUAAAUUUUGUUCCAAGGAUCUGUAUCUCUCCAAUAAAGAUACAUACAAAUUAUUGUUGUCAUAGAUCUAUUAGAAUUGCUUUAACUUUUAUAUGAGAUCUAGGAUUUCUUCCUUUUCUUUCAAAAUUUGCUGCAUAUUUUUCAAAAUCAUGAUUUAUCGCUUGCUAGGUUCUAGAUCCAUGCAAAUUUAGAGUAUUUUUACACACACACACGCUUGGACACAAGUACAUACAUGUAGUUUUCUUUUAUGUGGUGAAAAGUACAUAACAUGUAGUUUAUAGUUACUAGUCGCUAUAUAAUUUAAAAUUGAUGUUAUAGGAAUAUAUGUACGGAGAGAGCUUCCUUGAGUCCAUUCACAGGUCGUGAUAUGAUCCAAUUAGCUUCCGACUCAUUCAUCCAAAUACCGAGUCUCACCAAAAUUGGAACAAGACUUGUUAAAUGAAUGAAUGAUGCGGUAGACAAAUUGGAUCAUUGAUUCUCUUUGAUUGGACUGAAGGGAGCUCCCUUUCUUCUUGGCAUCUCCUUGCACAGGAGAAGAAGAAUAUGACCGAUUCCAGAUAUUCAAAUCUGGUAUAUCUAGAUGUCCUCAUACCUCUCUGUAUUAAUAUAUGUAAUCUUCACAAUAUCUUCUCUCCCUCCGGUUGCCAUCGUUCUAGGUUAACAAAAAUUUGAACCCUAAAUUGCAAAUUAGGUUUUUACUUUUGUAUUUCAUUACCAGUUCUCAAGGAAAGAGACGAUGUGUGUGUAUAAACAUGUAUGUGUAAUGUUUUUGA